rnacentral:rRNA from 1 species
GUUGGGAGCUCUCCCAUAUGGUCGACCUGCAGGCGGCCGCGAAUUCACUAGUGAUUCGUAUUACCGCGGCUGCUGGCACGGAGUUAGCCGGAGCUUAUUCUCCCGGUACUGUCAUUAUCAUCCCGGGUAAAAGAGCUUUACAACCCUAAGGCCUUCAUCACUCACGCGGCAUUGCUGGAUCAGGCUUUCGCCCAUUGUCCAAUAUUCCCCACUGCUGCCUCCCGUAGGAGUCUGGGCCGUGUCUCAGUCCCAGUGUGGCUGAUCAUCCUCUCAGACCAGCUAAGGAUCGUCGCCUUGGUGCGCCUUUACCACACCAACUAGCUAAUCCUACGCGGGCUCAUCCUCAGGCGAUAAAUCUUUGAUCUCGCGAUAUCAUCCGGUAUUAGCAGCAAUUUCUCGCUGUUAUUCCGAACCUGAGGGCAGAUUCCCACGCGUUACGCACCCGUGCGCCACUAAGGCCGAAGCCUUCGUUCGACUUGCAUGUGUUAGGCAUGCCGCCAGCGUUCAUUCUGAGCCAUGAUCAACUCUAAUCGAAUUCCCGCGGCCGCCAUGGCG